UACGGGGGGAGCAAGCGUUGUUCGGAUUUACUGGGCGUAAAGGGCGCGUAGGCGGCCAGCGCAAGUCAGUUGUGAAAUCUCCGGGCUUAACUCGGAACGGUCAACUGAUACUGCGCGGCUAGAGUGCGGAAGGGGCAACUGGAAUUCUCGGUGUAGCGGUGAAAUGCGUAGAUAUCGAGAGGAACACCUGCGGCGAAGGCGGGUUGCUGGGCCGACACUGACGCUGAGACGCGAAAGCGUGGGGAGCAAACAGG
rnacentral:rRNA from 1 species